GUGAUAAAUUUUUGUUUGAUCCCCACAAUAAGAGAAAAUUACGCGUUAUAAAUUGUGUUUUGUAUUAAUUAAAUCCCUUCCCAAAAUCGCUCUUUGUUACAUACAGUAUAUUCCCAAUAACAACAUUCCUUUUAUCUAGCAUACCUGCUGUCAAUCAAUACCAUAUAUGGUAGUCGCCUCAUUUCUAAAUUUAAUUUUUAGUUAUUAAUUACUUAAUAGUGAGCUUAAGCAAGUGACGUUUUUGACAACACGGACGUCGACCGGAAGUAAAGUUGGCGUUUUUCACCAAUCACAGCCCUUGACCCAGUCUUCGACGCUACUCAUGUCGUUCGUGUUGUCAAGAACGUCACUUGCUUAAGCUAACUAAUAUCAACCUUUUUCCCGACACACUCUCCUAUUUAGAAACGUACGUUUUGUAAAUAUAUAAACCUAUCUGUCUUAUAAACGAGCUUAUAAACACACGACCGUCUACAUAUAUUCACCGUCUCUACCUAUCAAAGUUCUUCUUCUUCAUGAUCAUAAAUUUUUUCAAUAUCCUUCCUUGCAUCGAUAGCCGCUCUACGCUUCGGUUUGAAUUCCUUUGCAGCAGGAUUCAAUGGAACAGUUUCCUGAUUGUUUUCUUUAUUACAAUGCUGACAGAUGCGCCGGAAUAUCGAUAAUUGGGGGAGAUAUUCAUAUAUUCGUGUUCAGAGACUGUAAAAACAAUCGAUUUCAAAAGAAAUUAAUUGGGCAGAACACGAAUAUAUGAACAUCUGCCUCCCCCCCUCCCCCCACCCCAAUUAUCGAAAUUCCGGCGCCUCUAAAAAUGCAAUUCCAAAGGGUAAAGAAAGUGCAUUGGUCUUUUCAUGAAUGAUUUUCCUGCACGUAGUCUUACUCCACGGACCACUUGUCUCUUCCGGGUAUAAGUUAUUCAACAAUCUCAAUUUCCCACAGUCUACGAUUCUUUUCAUCACCUUUGAUAAAAAAACAUCACCCUUUCUUAGCUCUCUCUCUUUCCCGUCAUAUGUUAAAUUAUGCCUUCCGCGAAGUGCUCACAUGUAUUCUCGUCUCCAUCGUUGCCACAACGCGUCCUUACAUUUCUUCAAAUACUUUGUCCUCUUUCGCAGGUCUCGUUCUUCUAUAUCCUCAGGUGAUAACUCCAUCAGAUAUUUAGCUUUACCGAAAAUCAUCACGUUCGGCGUCAACACGGGAAGCUGAACGUCAUCCCCGCUGUACGAUUGUGGUCGAUUGUUCAAUACGAGCUGGAUAUCUAUAGCAUCAUGUCUUGCAAUUCUUUGAAUGUAAAUUUUGCCGAUCCUACGAUCUUGUAAAGACCUUGUUUCACUAUGCUAACCAUUCGUUCAAACAUUCCACCCCAUCAGCUAGUUUCGCUUAGAUUGAACUGCCAUUUCACUCCAUGUUCAUUCAGAUGCCUUGUAACUUUUCGUUCCGUACGACUUUCUUGAUCGAUCCAUUUGGUAGCAGCCAUAAAAGUCUUUCUAUUAUCGGAUAUGAUCUUCUUCGGACGACCUGUUGCGGCGAUAAAUCUUAAGUCAUCGGGAAUUCUUCACGGCUCAUGUUUGGCAGAAUCUACAAGUGAACUCCUGUAGCUACACUGCACGUAUAGAUGACCAUAUACAACUUACGAUCAGCUCCCCAAUUUCCCUUGUAAUAGAUCGGUACGGCAUAGUUGACACCAGUUACUUGAAGGGAAUUUCACCUUCAGUUCGUUCUUUUGGAUGAUUCCCCUGAGGUGGAACGGGCAUUGGCGUUGUGUAAAAUCGUUUACACCCAUAGCAUUUGCCAAUAACUUUCUUCACAAUAACUUUCUUCACACCCAAUUGGCCACGAAUUGUUUAUAUCUUCCCUGACCUUGGAUCCAUUGAAAACAGACAGCAAUGUGUAUAUGACUACGAACUUUGAAUGUGUUGUGUAGGAGGUUAUUUAGCAUGUGGCAAAUCACUAACUCCAGGCGCGGAAUAGUCAAGUCCGUUUGACCAGUCUUGUUUUCGAAAUGAGAUUUGGAACAGCCUAAUGCAAGAAGUUUGGUCUGCGAUGGUGUUGUCCCUAGACUUUCCUUCGCAUAGGUAGUUUCUCCAUCUUUCUUUACAUCACUUUCUAAUUCUGCGGCGUUCGAAUGCCAUUUAUGUAAGUGGAAACCACCUUCUCAUAGGAUUUUCACAGCAUCUUCUUUGAAUUCUCUCGUUUCUUCCAAUGUGUCGCUUGCAAUGUUUAUAUCGUCCACGUAUGUACCGUCUUUAAGUUCUCAAACACAAACCGGAUAAUCUUGUGGGUAUUUCUCUAGACGAACGUUCAAUAUCCAUCGAAGAAUGAAUGGACUUGGACCCACACCAAACAUAAGUCUUGUCAUGCGGUAAAUCUUCUCUUCUCUGCUGUGCAAGUUAGUUAUCCACAGGAACCUUAAAGUGCCUAUAUCACUCGUGGGAUCUUUACGGAUUUGAUAAGAGCAGAAAAAGUUAUUUUAGAAGUUCUUCAACCUUUUUUGAUUUAGUUCAAUAGUCUCUGAGAUAUAGGCCCUCAAACAUGGUAAUUUUGACCAUUUUUGGAAAAAAUCUAUGGUGCUUGGGGGCCUGGGACUCAGGCCGCUGACAUAAUCUGAUAUGAUCGCGGACUGGGGUCACAGAACGCCCGGGAUAAAUUGACUACCAGACCAUUGAUCGAUUGCUUCGUCGCUCUUGUCGGUAUCUAACUUUAAACCUUGUAUAGUUUUUAAAUCGUACGCUUCGUCCAGCUUGGUUUUAAGCAACGUAUAUUGUCUGUUUAUUUUGUCGCUUCCGGCUCAAUUCUAGAGUAUCAGCCGUAGAUCGGUUAAAUUAAGCGAGCUUUCUCAACAACAAUUUGAAUUUGGCUUUUGUUGACUCGAUGUCGUUAUGUGCCAUCGUUUUUCAUCCUUGUGCUUCGACGUCAUUUCGCGAUUGUCGUGUUAUUAUCUCGAUCUCUAUAUUUGUUUACAUAUACCGCGUAAUUUUGCUUUAACUCGAUUUUUGUGUAAAUAUCCCGUUUCACGUUUGUCACAAUAUUCCGUUUAUUACGUUUUAAUCCCGUCUAGAGGUGCCCUUUGCGGUAGAUUUUUGUUUGAUCCCCACAGUAAGAGAAGUUAUGCGUUAUAAGUCGUGUUUUGUAUUAAAUCCCUUCCCCAAAUCGCUCUCUGUUCAGUGUGAACAGGUUUUUUCAGGGGCAAUUAGCACAUCCGGCUUCAUAAAAUUACUGCAUUGGGCCAAAAAUUAUCACGGUACCUCUUACCAGCGGAUCAUGUUUCACACUCUUGGUGAUCUCUUCCUUUGGUGUCUAGAUUGCUUCUGAAUUUCCGUUUGGGAUUUUUUAAUAACUUUAAAACUUACAAAAUUCAAUAUAAAUAUAAUAAAGAUAAAGCCAAGUCUGUUCUGAGCAUAUUUUCUGCCAAUAAGAAGUUUGUUUGCCAUAAAAAGCUCUAGUUCAGGUAGUUGUCGUUUGUGUUGUUCACGCCAUGGAACUUUUGAAUCGAACAUACAGUGUAAUAAGUGCGGACGCUGUUAUAUUUCGAACGCAGGAAGAGCGACGCAUAUACGAGCGGACAAGUGCAGGGAAUGAGAAAGAACAACCAUUGACAUCUCA
rnacentral:lncRNA from 1 species